GGUUGCUGCAGCCAGCCUGAGUGAUGGUUAGGUGGUUAAUCAUGGUGGCUGAGGAAACAUCGGGUCACUUCUCCCCCUUCCGUCUCCCGUGUAAUAAAGACGAUGGGCAGCGCGCAGAGCGCACUUAUCAUGUCACCGCCACGCGCACAUGGGGGGAAGCGGACCCCCCACGGCACGCACGGACCCGCUAGCGGCGACUCAGAUUUUCCAGAGGAAAUGAAGAGUUUUUAAACACAAUAAAAGUGUCAAUAUUUGAAGUUUGGGAAGAAUCAAGGCUCCGUCUGCCCGCAACCUCAAAGCUGACCGUCUCAUUGCAAUAUGAACACUCUUCUAAAUACACAGAGAUGGACAACUGCUUCCUAUAUUUGGAAAAACUUUAGCAGUGGAGAAUUCACUCAUGUUGCUUUACAGCUCUGUCCAGCUGGCAGUACCUUCAUUUGAACCUCAGUGACAGCAGGUAAUUGUAACAGAACAGUGCCUGUCAAAACAAGGAAGAUUUACUAUGCCAGUGGAUAAUGAAAAUGGAACAACUCAUGAAAGCGAUAAGGAAAAAGCACUGCCAGAAAGAUGGAAAGGCAUAUUCAGACCUUUAAAGACCACAAAAACAAUAUAGUGAAAGAGUGAGCUGUUGAGUGUAUCACUACUCAACAUCUCAGGACACAAGGAGAGCUGUGUUCACAGGCAGCAUCUAUAGACUUGCCUCAUGUCUGGGGAAUGCCUGCUGAGCAACUGUGAUGACCAUUCCCAGUUUCACUAGCGCUUCCUGUAUCAAAUCCCACAGCAGGAACUCAUCUAUUCCAAUAUGCUGACAGUUAAUGAUAGUAGCCAGUGCCAAACAAUUUAGAAAAUGGUGUAAGAAACAAUUAUGAAAGAUAACAUCUGUAGUGUAAACUUUUCCUUAAAUCCUAACAGUUCAAAGAGUGUUUUUGCUGUUACCCCUUAGCAUUACUGUUUGUCAAUGCUUAUGUAUGAUUUCUCUCAUUUAUGCUUUUAUUGUAGCUUAUACCAAUGUCUAUUGUUUUUUGGAAUUCUACUGAUUUUUUGGCCACAGUAAUGUGGUUGGAGAGGAACUCUGUCAGCUAAUUAUGCCUUGUGUACAAAAGUCUGUGUUAGGUGAGUUUGUUUUCUCUUUUACUUGUUUUAUGUGCAAGAGUAAAUAAAGAGCACCUAUGUAUCUAUCAUACACUAAUCAUUAUUUUAUGUAUAACACCAUGCUUCCUGUUAUUAUUCCCUAAACAGUACACUGAAGUCGCUGCAGUUGCAGCAAUAUAAUGGAAGGAUGUUCAAGCCAAUUUUAAAUUAAUUCUCACAGCUGUUGUUUGCAGCUCAGUGGUAGCAGCUCAGAGUUCAGCUUGGGCUGCCAAACCCACCCAAGAAGCAGUUAGCACCAAGUGAGAUCUAUACUGCUGCAACUAAACUAGCUAGAUUGCAUUGCUAUCACAGACAGUAGUGUAGCCUUGAUCUUUCCAGUCUUUUCCUGAUGUGGAAAUCUCCAAUCUGUUUUGUAACCUAAAUCACAACCCAUCUAAUAGUGUCUAUCUUUCAACUGGGAAAAUGUUUCCAGUAUGUUUAUAUACAUUCCUUUUUUCAAGGGACAUACAAACACUAAGUUCUUGAGUGUUCUCAAAAUACUGGAGAUGAAGUAUAGGGAUAUAUACAUGGGUAGCAAGGACUAUUCUUUCACUUCAUUACUCUCAGCAUCUUCCUCUGGUAAACUGCAGUGGUUUUUCUUUUUUUCAAACUGUGUUGUGUCAAGGACCGUAUACUGGCAAUAGAUACCUCAUUAGGAUAAUAGCAGUAACAGAUCAUUGUAACACUGCAAAAAGGAAGAGGUAAAGGCAGCCUAGUUCCUUACCCUCAGAGCUAUCCUGUUCUUGUUCCCCCUGGAAUUUCUAUUUUAUCUCUACUUUUGGGACUGAGAAACAAAACCAGGGGCUGUAUUUCUCUUCUUACAGUUGUAUAGUAUGACUACCAAUAAGGUCCUCUUUUGGGCUAGAUUCUUUUCUAAGAUUUGGUGUCAGAGGCAUUGAUAUUAUUUGCUAUCUAAGACAGUCAUUUUUAUUAUUAAUAUCUUUUUAUACUUAAUGGCAUUCAUUAAAAGUACCAGAAGGAGCAAGAAAAAGGGGAUAAACUUCCUAUCUUUUUGUGGGAAACAAGCCAGCUUUUAUUUAAAAGUUCACGCUGUAUGUAUAUUCUCAUGUGUUUAGUUCAGGCAGGCUACAUUUAUUAGAGAGACAGUGUCACCACUAAAAUCUUCACAGUUUUGCCUUUGAGAGAAGAUAAGCUGACCAUACUAUUCCUUAGGUGUUGUAUUUCUUAACUGAGAGAAUGCUUUGAAUACAUUAAUUACUUGCAAAGGCGUUUAUAUAGAUUUUUAAUGUUGACAACUAUAAUGUUUACAUAUGAUUAAUUGCACUUUUGCAAUGUGUAUAUAAUGGGAUAUGAGUUAUAGUCAAUAAUAUUUCACUAUUCAAAGCAUGUUUCAUGAAAAUAAUUGCUUUCCAUAUUUGUGUGUUGGUCUAAGUGAAUGAUCUCAAUGCACAGGGCAAAGUCAAACAAAGCACCUUCAUCUGUGGUGGAAAGACUGCUGGAAACCAUUUGAGAAAAUUAUUUGUAUUGCCCCUUUCUUCUUGGAUGAGAAUAAAUACGGAGUCUGUCUGUCUUUUAUUGCCUUCA